rnacentral:rRNA from 2 species
CGUGUAGGCGGUUUUGCAAGUCAGAUGUGAAAUUCCCAGGCUUAACCUGGGCGCUGCAUCUGAAACUGCAAGACUUGAGUACUGGAGAGGAUAGUGGAAUUCCUAGUGUAGCGGUAAAAUGCGCAGAUAUUAGGAGGAACACCGGUGGCGAAGGCGACUAUCUGGACAGUAACUGACGCUGAGGCGCGAAAGCGUGGGGAGCAAACAG